AUUGAAACGCUUGUUCUCAUCCGAUCACCGAAUGUUAAGCAACGUCGAGUCUGGUCAGUACCUAGAUGGGUGACCGCUUGCGAAUACCAGGUGGUGUAAG